UGGGGAAUAUUGGGCAAUGGGCGCAAGCCUGACCCAGCAACGCCGCGUGAAGGAAGAAGGCUUUCGGGUUGUAAACUUCUUUUCUUAGGGACGAAGCAAGUGACGGUACCUAAGGAAUAAGCCACGGCUAACUACGUGCCAGCAGCCGCGGUAAUACGUAGGUGGCAAGCGUUAUCCGGAUUUACUGGGUGUAAAGGGCGUGUAGGCGGGAUUGCAAGUCAGAUGUGAAAACCACGGGCUCAACCUGUGGCCUGCAUUUGAAACUGUAGUUCUUGAGUACUGGAGAGGCAGACGGAAUUCCUAGUGUAGCGGUGAAAUGCGUAGAUAUUAGGAGGAACACCAGUGGCGAAGGCGGUCUGCUGGACAGCAACUGACGCUGAGGCGCGAAAGCGUGGGGAGCAAACAG
rnacentral:rRNA from 1 species